rnacentral:rRNA from 1 species
CAUACCACCCUGAACAUGCCCAAUCUCAUCUGAUCUUGGAAGCUAAGCAUGGUCGGACCUGGUUAGUACUUGGAUGGGAGAAACCAAGCA